CCAAACUGGGAUUAGAUACCCCACUAUGCUCAGCCCUAAACAUAAAUAAUUCACAUAACAAAAUUACUUGCCAGAGAACUACUAGCAAUAGCUUAAAACUCAAAGGACUUGGCGGUGCUUUACAUCCCUCUAGAGGAGCCUGUUCUAUAAUCGAUAAACCCCGAUAAACCUCACCACUUCUAGCUAAAUCAGUCUAUAUACCGCCAUCUUCAGCAAACCCUUAAAAGGAAGAAAAGUAAGCACAAUAAUGAUACAUAAAAAAGUUAGGUCAAGGUGUAACCCAUGAAGUGGGAAGAAAUGGGCUACAUUUUCUAACCAAGAACAUACUCACGAAAGUUUUUAUGAAAACUAAAAACUAAAGGUGGAUUUAGUAGUAAAUUAAGAAUAGAGAGCUUAAUUGAAUAGGGCCAUAAAGCACGCACACACCGCCCGUCACCCUCC
rnacentral:rRNA from 1 species